rfam:Paeniclostridium sordellii ATCC 9714 gcs9714.contig.43, whole genome shotgun sequence.
AAUUAUAAAUAAAAAAUCACUCAUAUAUACUCAGAAAUAUGGUCUGAGAGUCUCUACCGGAGUACCGAAAAUACUCUGACUAUGAGUGAAAUUAUUAUAGUU